UACGUAGGGUGCGAGCGUUAAUCGGAAUUACUGGGCGUAAAGCGUGCGCAGGCGGUUCGUUGUGUCGGUGGUGAAAGCCCUGGGCUUAACCUGGGAAUGGCCAUGGAAACUGGCGAACUGGAGUGUGGCAGAGGGGGGUGGAAUUCCGCGUGUAGCAGUGAAAUGCGUAGAGAUGCGGAGGAACACCGAUGGCGAAGGCAGCCCCCUGGGCUAGCACUGACGCUCAGGCACGAAAGCGUGGGGAGCAAACAGG
rnacentral:rRNA from 1 species